GGGACACUCCCAGUGACACUGGGACUGCUCCAGAGCUCCCAGUGACACUCCCAGUGACACUGGGACUGCUCCAGAACUCGGGGUGAUGUUCCCAGUGACACUGGGACUGCUCCAGAACUCGGGGUGACACUCCCAGUGACACUGGGACUGCUCUGGGUGACGCUCCCAGUGACACUGGGAAUGCUCCAGAACUCCAGGUGAUGUUCCCAGUGACACUGGGACUGCUCCAGAACUCGGGGUGAUGCUCCCAGUGACACUGGGACUGCUCCAGAACUCGGGGUGACACUCCCAGUGACACUGGGACUGCUCUGGGUGACGCUCCCAGUGACACUGGGAAUGCUCCAGAACUGCAGGUGAUGCUCCCAGUGACACUGGGACUGCUCCAGAACUCGGAGUGACACUCCCAGUGACACUGGGACUGCUCCAGAGCUCCAGGGGACACUCCCAGUGACACUGGGACUGCUCCAGAACUCGGAGUGACACUCCCAGUGACACUGGGACUGCUCCAGAGCUCCAGGGGACACUCCCAGUGACACUGGGCAGCCUUUGGAACGGGAGCUGGGGUUUUUAAGGAUCUGUGUGUCGCUGCUGCCCCCAGGACGGGCUCACCCGUGCAAACCUCGGCUUUCCUUUUGUGGUGUAAAUAAUUAGAACCGAACUUUCAUUAUAAAUAAAUGUAUAAAUACUGGGC